AGGAAGGAAGGAAGGAAGGAAGGAAAAUGAUAUGCGAAUAAUCAGCCCACUGUCUCUGUCUGGUUCUCUGUGGUCAGUUUGUAGUAGGGUCUAGUUUGGUGUGGGUCACACCUUGGCAGGUCGGGAGACCUGUGCCCUGGGGGUGAUCACAGAUCAGUACAUCUGGGAGUGAGGACUGCUCUCUGUACUAUUUGUGUUUGUUGGGGCCAGCACGAAGAGGUUCAUGAGAUCCCAUGGUGCUUUCUGCUUUGUCCCCACCGUUUUCAUCCAGGUAAAAUCAGAUCCAUGUGGGGAAUGGAGGGGAAGGAGAAUCGUAAAAGGCCAAGUGAAGUCUGAGGGCCAGAGGACGCAGGGGAAGGGAGUCUAUAGACCCACACGUCUGCUUGUUUAUUAUAAAGUCAUCCACGACAUGCCUCUGACAUGCCAGGCCUCGUACACAAUCCCAGGAUGCAGUGUGAGGCAUGGCAAAGCCCUCCACUCCCCAGGACAGUCCUUAAGUCUUGAAGACAGACAUGCAGUAAGAAAGACUCAGAAAAGGGAGAGAAGACGGAGCCUGUCAUGACACAGAGCCUCAGCAGAGGCUUGUCUCCAGCGUCAGGCACUGAUGACAUUCGCUGAGCCACAGCCCAUGCCUGGAAGGUUUCCGACGUUCAUAUAGACCACAGACCUUCUCCAGAAGUCACCACCAACAGGGGCUACAAGAUCACUGGCAAAGAAAUAUAUCAGAGUGCCAUUCUAACAAAAUAGAUUCUUAAAAAAACACGCUGUGACAGAGGCAGAGUAAUUGUAAGAAGGGCAUUGCAGGAAUAAUUUUAUUGCCUCUGUACUGCUCCCCCCCCAAGAAAACCCCACAUGUCUGUGAAUAUCUUUGCAACUUCCUAUAUAAUUCUAGUAAUUCUAAUAUAAGUAUUUAAUAGACAGUGCAGGUCAUUGGAAAUCUUCAAAUUCCAGUUAAUUUGGAUACUGUACUAAACAUGAUUACUGUCCAUGUGGCUUAGGCUUCAAGGGAGAAAACUAAAUAAUGGGAUGUCAUUUGAUAUGGUCUGGUUGUGUCCCCACCCAAAUCUCAUCUUGAAUUGUAGCUCCCAUAAUUCCCACAUGUCAUGGGAGGACUCAGUGGGAGGUAAUUGAAUCAUGGGGGUGGGUCUUUCCCAGGCUGUUCUUGUGAUAGUGAAUAAAUCUCACGAGAUCUGAUGGUUUUAUAAACGGGAGUUCCCCUGCACAAGCUCUCUUGCCUGCCACCAUGUAAAACGUGACUUUGCUCCUCUUUUGCCUUGUGCCAUGAGUAUGAGGCCUCCCCAGCCAUGUGGAGCUGUGAGUCCAUUAAAUCUCUUUCCUUUGUAAAUUACCCAGUCUUGGGUAUGUUUUUAUUAGCAGCAUGAGAACAGACUAAUACAUUGUGUAUAUAAAGAAUAUCAAACGUGUGAUAAGAAUGCAUUUGAUUAGUUGAAGAGAGAGCUCCUGGUGUUGGUUCAGUGAACAGUGCUGCUGACCUGCAGCCUCGGGGGGCUCAGGGAGAGAACAGGCCUUUCUGCCUCUGUGUGUCCCACAGACCUCAGCACCUACCCCAUGCCCAGCCUGGACCCUGCAACUCAGUCAGGACCCUGCUUAUCAAUCCUGGGCACUUGCUAGGUUUUCUCUUCAGCUGCAUGCAGUGCACAGUUAAUUACUAAGAUGAGAAAAUGCCCCUUUCCACGGAAAUUAUGGAAAUGCUAUCAGACGUUAAGGAUUAAUGAGUAUGAACAGGUGUGAGAUUAGAUGCAGCUGAAAAGAACUCGGCAUGGUGGCUGGCUGCUUGUUACAGUCAUUGUUAAAGCUGCCAAAACAAAACAAGAAAUUCUAUUGCUCAGGUGAUUUUUCUUAAAAACAUUUUUUUUCUUCAUUUUCACUAAGCACUCUCGUUUUCUUGCCCAUGUAGCUAAUAAUCCCAUUGAUGAGGGACUUUGCCUCAGAGGAUCAGUUUCGUCACUGGUAGCUUCACAGAGAGUUGAAUGACACACACAGGUCUCAGCCUUGUCAAUCUAGAGUCCAUGCUAAUUGGCAUCCCUAAGAACAGGCCCCACCAGCUUGAAGUAAUUUACAACCUCAUGUUUCCAAUCAGUCAUGUAUAAGGGAAAGCUUGCAGGAGUGGUGGACACUUUUCAGGAAAGUCUUGUCCCUUUUUAUAAAACACACUAGACAUGAAUCUCAGAACGUUAUUGUGCUUUUUUUUUUUUUUUUGGCUGUUGUUGUUAACAUUCAAAUCCCUCCCCAGUCAGCCAUGGGGUGAUGUUGUUCGAUUUCAGUCACAUGUAGGACUCUAAAGCUACAGGGUUGAAGAUGCCAUGAGAUCGCCACCCUCCCACCAGGGGCCCAUCCACAGACAAUGCAUGAUGGAAUGUGGAGCGUGGGGAGAGCCUGCCUUUGUACUUGGUAUGUUUGAUUAAUUAAUGUGAGAAUGAAAUCCAUGUCAUGUACAAGGUGCUAGAACUGGCAGGAUGCACCUUUUAUAGAGAGCUUGUUUUUCCCAGAAAGAGCUUGUAUUCAGAGUGGGAGAUAAGACUCUGUUAGGUAAUGGAUCCGAAAUGGAUUUCAUCAUCUUACUGUCAUAGUAAGGAUAUGGGGUCCUAGCGAGAUUCGGUGCUCAUUGCUGGCAUCCCUGAAGGCCCAUCCAGGGGCUGGCUGUGACCAUGAGCAGAUUAAGGGCCUCCCUUGGUAGUUGCUCCAGUGGGAGUUGUUGGCUUCUGGGUCUUGUGUUCCAGUGACCCAAAUUCACAACAAAAAGGGGAUUGAUGAACUUGAUGUCGAAUAUUCAUUUAUGCUGAGAGACUUAACUGUGAAGAUUAGGAUUCUAUUUAUAACAGCCCUAUAUAGAGACGCUUGCCUUGUAGGCGGUCCUUCCCGGGGAAAGAAUGUGCAACUCUGUGUGGCAUUUCUCAAAAGGGAGCGCCUCUCUUCAGGGUGCUGAGGCCUCUCCUGGGAGGCUGUGAACUGAAACUUGCAUUCAGCUGAAUCAUGGCAGGAGGGGAGACGUGAGGGGAGUUUGGAGUGGGGGAGGGCAAAUGUUAGGUUCUGGAAAAUGUCAUUGACCAUGAAGGCAGUUUUCCACAGCUGCAAUUGAGCAAGCUGUUAAUUCAUUCAUCUCAGCAAAGCCAGAAGGAGACGUUCUGGAGGCAGACUCCAAAACCCCCUAACUGGCCACACUUCUCCCAGCCUACUGGAUGAGGCUGGGAACUUUUCCCAAACCAGACUGAAGUUUUAAAAUGCAAAUCCUGGUUGAGGGGACACACUGAAAUUUAUGCCCACUAAAUAAAAUCACACUACUGGUCAAGUAUAAAUACAAAUAGCAGACUUGCUUUGUAAACUUUAAGAUAGAGAAGGGUGGAGGGAGGGAGUUUGGGGUAGAUCUGGGAGUCUGAACUCAGGGAGAGAAGAAGCAGAAGAGAAAGCUCACGUUUGCUGUGAUGAUGGCCCUACAAAGGCUUAUUGGUUUACUAUGUGCCAGGCACAGGGUGACUACUUAAUUCCACUCAGUCAUUUCAACAAUGCUAUGAAGUACGGAUUAUUCACUCCCAUUUUAUUGAUGAAGAAGCUGAGGCUUCAGAGGCUACACAGUGAAAUUUCUCCCAUCCCCAGGAGGCUCUCUGCAGCAUUUUGUCAUGCCAGCUGCAGGCCUUUGCAGCACAGCUUCGACAGUUUCUACUGUUUUUUUUCUAAUUAUUCAUGUGCUUUGACACAGAGAAAGUUUCAUCCCACAAGCAUUAUAAUUGGGAUUUUCAUUGGAACUUACACAGCUAUGGCAGCCAGUGCUAAGUGGCCCACAGAGAGGUGCUGAGAAUUAAACAACACAGAGUGCAGUUCAGGCCAAGGAGCUUGGGAGAAUUCCUGGAAGGGGAAAGAUGUGAGCGGGACCUUGGCGGGAGGAGGGAGGACUAGGAUGUCUGCAUACAGGAAUGGGGAGGAGCCGUGGAUGACAGAGACUUUAGGAAUGAAAACACUAAAGAAAUUGGUGGCUACUUUGAUAAGAUCAGGGAUGAAGAAAAGGAAGUGAAAAAAGUUCUGGUAAUGGUUGACUAGAGGAUGGUGAUACCAUCUCCUUUUCCUCAUUGGAGUCAGAUGUAGGCUCUAAAUCCAUCCUUUAAUCAUUAACACCUACCUCCCGCUCUCCUUUUGUCCAUGACUCGCUUUACUUUUCUCCUCAGCACCAUCAUACAAUAUAUUUAUUUAUUUUAUUGCCUUUCCCUCAACUACAUUGUAAGGUUCCAGUGCAGGGAUAUUUGUCAUUUUGGUUCUUUGCUGUAUCCUCAGAACCUGGAGCAAUACAGGACUAAGUGUUCUCUCUGUGUGUGUGUAUGUAUAUGCAUAUAUAUGUACAUACUGUGUGUGUGUGUGUGUGUGUGUGUGUGUGUGUAUAGCCAAAGCAGUUAGUCCUGUUUUACGUUUCAUAUACUUUUUAGUUUUUUUUUUUUUUGAAACAAAGUUUUGCUCUUGUCGCCCAGGCUGGAGUGCAGUGGCACAGUAUCAGUUCACUGCAAUCUCUACCUCCCAGGUUCAAGCUAUUCUUUUGCCUCAGCCUCCCAAGUAGCUGGGAUUACAGGCACCCACCACCACGCCUGGCUACUGUUUGUAUUUUUAGUAGAGAUAGGGUUUUGCCAUAUUUACCAGGCUGGUCUCAAACUCCUGACCUUGAGUGAUCAACCCGCCUUCGCCUCUCAAAGUGCUGGGAUUAUAGACAUGAGUCACCAUACCCGGCCUACAUUUUAAUUCUUAAAUAAGAAAAUUUCACACAAAUGGUAACUAAUUUAUUCUGCUAAUUAUCAAUAUAGCAGAAAUUGUUCAAGUACCCACAAAACCACUUUGUUUCUUACUUUCAAUACAAUAUUCAAAAAAUUACAUGAGAAAUUCAACACUUCAGUAUAAAAUAGGCUCUGUGCAAGAUGAUUUUGCCCAACUGCAGGCUACUGUAAGUGUUCUGAGCACGUUUAAGGUAGGCUAGCUAGGCUAAGCCCUGCUGUUCGGUAGCUUAGGUGUAUUAGAGGCGUUUCAACUUACUGUAUUUUCAACUUAAAAUGAGUUUAUCAGGGGUUACCCCAUUGUAACCCAAGGAGCACCUGUAUUUCCAAAUCAACAUUUGGGGAAUGAAAAUAUUUAGGACCACGGGAAUAGAAAGGCCUGAGGAGUCUCUGUAGGUCUUGCUUGUCUGGGGUUGCAUGGGAAGAGGGGAGCCAGGUGAUUGCAUGCAGGGUCUGACACAGAUGCCUGGGGGCAAGGACCCUGUGGAGUCAGCAGUGGAAACCUGUGGGCUGGCACUGAAACGAGCAGCUGCUGCCAUGUCACUGAGUAGAUGUGGGGUGCCAGUGAAAUCAGUCAUAUCACUGAGCCCUGAUAGAAUGGUGGAAAAUAUAUACUCCCAGCAACAUGAUUCUGCCAGUGCCCAGAAGAAUAGAAAUGGACAUCUUCGAUAAGGAGAAAGUAAGGAGGCAGCGUGGUUCCUCAAAUCUUCCUGCAUUGAAUUAAAGCUACAGAGAAAAGCUGUUAGUGCAAAUAAGCUCUGCAUUUAGGCACAGGCUUAGGUGAUUUGUUUUUGAUCUCACAUGUUUUCUGAUAAAUAUAUCUGGAAUUACAAAUUUCCUUCUGAGUAUUGCAUUUGUUUUAUCACAUACGUAUUGUUGGGAAGUAUUUUCCCCUUUACUUUUAUUUGGCAUAUAAUAAUUGUACAUAUUUAUGGGAUACAGAAUAAUAUUUUGAUGUGUAUACAUUGUGUAAUGAUUAAAACAGGAUAAUUAGCAUAUCUAUCCCCUCAAACAUUUAUCCUUUCUUUUUGUUGCAAACAUUCAAAAUCCCCUCUUCUAGCCUUUUAAAAUUAUACCAUAUUGGCUGGGCACGGUGGCUCACACCUGUAAUCCCAGUACUUUGGGAGGCCAAGGCAGGCAGAUCACCUGAGGUCAAGAGUUUGAAACCAGCCUGGCCAACAUGGUGAAACCUUAUCUCUACUAAAAAUACAAAAAUUAGCUGGGCUAGGUGAUGGGAGCCUAUAAUCCCAGCUACUUGGGAGGCUGAGGUAGGAGAAUCGCUUGAACCCGGGAGGUGGAGGUUGCAGUGAGCUGAGAUCACGCCAUUGCACUCCAACCCGGACGACAAGAGCAAAACUCUGUCCCCCACCCAAAAAAAAAAAAAAAAAAAAGAUAUACUGUAUUACACUGCUGGUGGGAACAUAAGCUAGUACAACCACUAUGGAAAACAGUAUGGGGAUUCCUUAAAGAACUAAAAGUAGAACUACCAUUCGAUCCAGCAAUCCCACUAGUGGGUAUCUACCCAAAGGAAAAGAAGUCAUUAUAUGAAAAAGAUAAUGCACAUGCAUGUUUACAGCAGCACAGUUCACAAUUGCAAAAAUAUGGAACCAGCACAAAUGCCCAUCAAUCAAUGAGUGGAUAAAGAAAUUGUGGUAUAUAUAUAUAUAUAUAUAUAUAUACACACACACACCAUGGAAUACUACUCAGCCAUGUAAAGGAAUGAAAUAAUAGCAUUUGCAGCAACCUGAAUGGCACUGGGACUGUUAUUCUAAGUGAAGUAACUCAGGAAUGAAAAACCAAACAUUGCAUGUUCUCAUUCAUAAGUGGGAGCUAGGCUAUGAGGAUGCAAAGGCAUAAGAAUGAUACAGUGAACUUUGGGGGCUCUGGGGAAAGGGUGGAGGGGGUUGCAGGAUGAAAGACUACAAAUUGGGUACGGUGUAUACUGCUUGGGUGAUGGGUGCACCGAAAUCUCAGAAAUCACCACUAAAGAACUUAUUCAUGUGGCCGAACACCACUUGUUCCCCAAAAACCUAUGGAAAUAAAAACAUAAAAUUAAAAAAUACCAUAAAUUACAUUUGACCAUAUUCACCCCAAAGUGCUGACAUGAAGUACUUUUUAUUGAUGUUCAGUUUUAGUAUUUCAAAAUUAUAAUUUCUUCUUCAUAUAAGAUGUACUUAGUGGCAUGUGUUUUGAUUUCCAGACAUAUGAACUUCUAAUUUUUUAUUAGCUAACAUUUUUGUUGAUUUCUACUUUUGUUAAUAAUUGUUAAUAAUUUCUACUCCUACGUCAAUGUGAUAAAUAAACACAGUUUAUGCAAUGCUAUAUCUUUUUCUAAAAUUUAUUGAAGAUUACUAUGUGAGUAGUACCUGGUCAAUUUUUACAAAUAUUAUGUGUGCUUGAAAAAAUUAUAUUUUUAAGAUUCUACAUUUAUCUAAUAUUUCAAACUUAUUAGUCAUGCUAUUUAGAUCUUCUAUGUAUGCAAACUUUUUGCAGCUUGAUCUAUCCCUUUCUGAGAUGAACAUGUUAAAUCUCAUUGAACAUAAAUAAAG
rnacentral:lncRNA from 1 species